rnacentral:rRNA from 1 species
UAGGGAAUAUUGGACAAUGGGUGAGAGCCUGAUCCAGCCAUGCCGCGUGCAGGAAGAAGGCGUUAUGCGUUGUAAACUGCUUUUUGCCAGGGGAUAAAAAGACCGUGCGCGGUUAAUUGAAGGUACCUGGUGAAUAAGCCGCGGCUAACUACGUGCCAGCAGCCGCGGUAAUACGUAGGUGGCAAGCGUUGUCCGGAUUUAUUGGGUUUAAAGGGUGCGUAGGUGGCCCUGUAAGUCAGUGGUGAAAUAUCUCAGCUUAACUGAGAGGGUGCCAUUGAUACUGCAGGGCUUGAGUACAGAUGAGGUAGGCGGAAUUGACGGUGUGGCGGUGAAAUGCAUAGAUAUCGUCAAGAACACCGAUAGCGAAGGCAGCUUACCAAGCUGUAACUGACACUGAGGCACGAAAGUGUGGGGAUCAAACAGGAUUUAGAUACCCGCGUAGUCCCUGAGCGGGCUGGCAAGGCGCAU